GACGAACGCUGGCGGCGUGCUUAACACAUGCAAGUCGAACGGAAAGGCCCUGCUUUUGUGGGGUGCUCGAGUGGCGAACGGGUGAGUAACACGUGAGUAACCUGCCCUUGACUUUGGGAUAACUUCAGGAAACUGGGGCUAAUACCGGAUAGGAGCUCCUGCUGCAUGGUGGGGGUUGGAAAGUUUCGGCGGUUGGGGAUGGACUCGCGGCUUAUCAGCUUGGUGGUGGGGUAGUGGCUUACCAAGGCUUUGACGGGUAGCCGGCCUGAGAGGGUGACCGGCCACAUUGGGACUGCGCUACGGCCCAGACGCCUACGGGAGGCAGCAGUGGGGAAUAUUGCACAAUGGGCGGAAGCCUGAUGCAGCAACGCCGCGUGCGGGAUGACGGCCUUCGGGUUGUAAACCGCUUUCGCCUGUGACGAAGCGUGAGUGACGGUAAUGGGUAAAGAAGCACCGGCUAACUACGUG
rnacentral:rRNA from 1 species